GACGAACGCUGGCGGCGUGCUUAACACAUGCAAGUCGAACGGAAAGGCCCUGCUUUUGUGGGGUGCUCGAGUUGCGAACGGGUGAGUAACACGUGAGUAACCUGCCCUUGACUUUGGGAUAACUUCAGGAAACUGGGGCUAAUACCGGAUAGGAGCUCCUGCUGCAUGGUGGGGGUUGGAAAGUUUCGGCGGUUGGGGAUGGACUCGCGGCUUAUCAGCUUGUUGGUGGGGUAGUGGCUGACCAAGGCUUUGACGGGUAGCCGGCCUGAGAGGGUGACCGGCCACAUUGGGACUGAGAUAAGGCACAGACUCCUACGGGAGGCAGCAGUGGAGAAUAUUGCACAAUGGGAGGAAGCAUGAUGCAGCAAAGCAGCGUGCGGGAUGACGGGCUUCGGGUUGUAAACUGAUUUCGCCUGUGACGAAGCGUGAGUGACGGUAAUGGGUGAAGAAGCACCGGCUAACUACGUG
rnacentral:rRNA from 1 species